CAGUCCAUUGCCAAAAACUCGCAAGAACCCCAGGUGAUGCCAAUAGAAAUUCAUCACAAAAGCCAAUAAAAAUAUGAUGCCAAACCAGAUUUUUACCAAAAUAUUCCUCACCAAACCAGAAAACUCAACCGAAUAAUACAAUUCAUCCUCUCUCAUUUUUGCCCAGAUCCAUUUUUUUCUGGCCCAACAAGCCCAAAGAAUUUUUUCCCAGAUUCCAUGCCCCUUGGCUCCACCCAUGGCCUUAGGUCAGCAUCAUCAUGAAUGUGGUGACCCGUGACCCCAUACAGCUCUGAGAGAGGCAUGGAGCAAUCACAAUCUUGAAUCCCUGGAAUUUUCUUCUUUUGUGUUCAUCUUCUACUUCAACGGUUGGAUUUUGUGAUGCUCCAAUUUGUUCAGAGGCCUAACAGAGGAAACUGAUGUGGAAACCAAGUAAUGUCACAGGAGGAAAACUGAUGUUAUACAUGUGGAAACCAAAUAAUGUCACGGUUCUAGCUGCUAGUUUGAAGAGAAAGAGAACACCAAGGCAAAUAGGAGGAAGAAGAUGAUCCCUGUUCGCUGUUUCACCUGUGGGAAGGUGGUUGGAAACAAGUGGGAGCCCUAUCAGCAGAGUCUGAAGAAUGGUUGCUCUGUAAAGUCAGUAUUUUCCAAUUUAUAAGAUUUUCCAACCGUUCUAUUGGCAAAUACCUCCUUUGAUUCAAGUCUAUCUCCAAUUGUGCCAUCGGUGUUCCUAUUUAUGGCAAAGAGCAAAUUGAUAUUGUUCUGGAUGGUUUACCUAGUGAAAAUGAGGCUUAGUUAAUCUUGUUCACAUGAACAAUAAAUUUUCUCCUCUCUUUAAUGAGGAGAUUGAGUCACUAUUACUUGCUCAAGAACUGCGAAUUGAGAGAACAAGAAACAUGCAUCGGAGUUCUCUGUUAAUCUAACUCAGGCUUUUCCUCCGGCAUCACAAGCAAGAACCUGUUACUUCGAUACUUUUACUGAUUAGCACGGAGGCCGAGGUCGUGGUGGACAUAGCACGGUUGAGUGUCAAGUGUGCUUAAAAAUUGGACGUUCUGCUUUAGUUUGUGCUACCAUUGGUUCAAUCAAUUUUACACUCCUCCACAGUCUCAUUCCCCUCAGCCAUGGAAUGGAAUCAGACGCCGUAUUCUUGGCAAUAGAAUCAACCAAUGUUCUCUGCUUCUUCCAGGCCACCUCCUCAAGCACAAGCUAUGGUUGCUGGCUCUACUCCAGUCUGGUCCUUUAGAAUCUGCGGCAUCCUUCACUAUGGUCUUCUUCUUCCGCCUGUGGCUUCCUUCCCUCUAAAUAUUCGUGGCUUUUGUGAUGCUGACUGGGCCACAGAUCCUAAUGAUCGCAGCUCUACUAGCGGUGCUUGAAUUUUUCUUAGCCUAAACUUGAUCUCAUGAUGGUCUAGAAAGCAAGCUGCUGUUACCCAUAGUAAUACAGAGGCCGAAUAUAGAAGCGUAGCACAGAUAAUUGAUGAUGUCUUGUGGAUCCAGUCUCUCCUGCAAGAACUCCAUGUUAAAUAUGCCCAGCCUUCUCUGUUUUGUGACAACCUAAGCCCAGCCUCUCCUCACAAUCUAGAGCUUUAUUCCAAAACUAAACACAUGGAGAUGGAUCUCUUUUUUGUACGGGAAAAGGCGCUUCAACAUCAGCUUACUGUUCAUCAUAUCCCUGCUGACCUUUAACUUGUGGAUGCUUUGAUAAAGCCCUUAUCUUCAUCCAUAUUUCAAGAGUUACGCAGCAAGCUCACCGUCACACCUGGAUGAGUUUGAGGGGGGACUGUUGGAGUAUGUACAAGUGUAGGCUCACUUACACUGUAUCAUUGUUUCUACGGUUACUAACUAAUUUUUUCACUUUUUCUUUAUAAAAUUGGAGUGUUAGGAUGG